rnacentral:rRNA from 1 species
GGGGACCUUCCUUCGGGAAGGUAACCCGGCAGACGGCUCAGUAACACGUGGACAAUUUACCCUUGGGACCGGGAUAACCCCUGGGAAACUGGGGCUAAUACUGGAUAGAGCAUCGGCUGCUGGAAUGCGCGAUGUUCGAAAGCUGAGGCGCCCAAGGAUAGGUCUGCGGCUGAUUAGGUUGUUGUUGAUGUAACGGAUCAACAAGCCCGCGAUCGGUACGGGUUGUGAGAGCAAUAGCCCGGAGAUGGGUUCUGAGAGAAGAACCCAGGUCCUACGGGACGCAUCAGGCGCGAAAACUUUACAAUGUGCGAAAGCGCGAUAAGGGAACUCUGAGUGCCUCCUAAGGAGGCUGUUCAGGUGUCUAAAAAGCAUCUGGAGUAAGGGCUGGGUAAGACCGGUGCCAGCCGCCGCGGUAACACCGGCAGCUCAAGUGGUAGCCAUGCUUAUUGGGUCUAAAGCGUCCGUAGCCGGCUGAGUAAGUUCCUUGGGAAAUUUGACCGCUUAACGGUUAAGCUAUCAGGGAAUACUGCUUGGCUUGGGACCGGGAGAGGUCAGAGGUACUCCAGGGGUAGGGGUGAAAUCUAUUAAUCCUUGGGGGACCACCGGUAGCGAAGGCGUCUGACCAGACCGGGUCCGACGGUGAGGGACGAAGGCUGGGGUCGCGAACCGGAUUAGAUACCCGGGUAGUCCCAGCUGUAAACGAUGC